rnacentral:rRNA from 1 species
UCAGCACCGGGCUAACUUUGUGCCAGCAGCCGCGGUAAUACAGAGGGUGCAAGCGUUAAUCGGAAUUACUGGGCGUAAAGGGUCUGUAGGCGGAUUAUUAAGUCGGAUGUGAAAUCCCCGGGCUCAACCUGGGAACGGCAUUCGAUACUGGUAGUCUAGAGUGUGCAAGAGGAUGGGGGAAUUCCUGGUGUAGCAGUGAAAUGCGUAGAGAUCAGGAGGAACAUCAAUGGCGAAGGCACCUUUCUGGGGCAACACUGACGCUGAGAGACGAAAGCGUGGGGAGCAAACAGGAUUAGAUACCCUGGUAGUCCACGCCCUAAACGAUGUCAACUAACUGUUCGGAGUCACUAAGAUUCUGAGUAGUGAAGCUAACGCGAUAAGUUGACCGCCUGGGGAGUACGGCCGCAAGGUUGAAACUCAAAGAAAUUGACGGGGGCCCGCACAAGCGGUGGAGUAUGUGGUUUAAUUCGAUGCAACGCGAAGAACCUUACCCGGUCUUGACAUGGUAGGAAUCUUGUAGAGAUACGAGAGUGCCUUCGGGAACCUACACACAGGUGCUGCACGGCUGUCGUCAGCUCGUGUCG